rnacentral:rRNA from 1 species
AUUGAACGCUGGCGGCAUGCCUAACACAUGCAAGUCGAACGAGUGGCGGACGGGUGAGUAAUGCCUGGGAACCUGCCCUAUGGUGGGGGAUAACUACUGGAAACUUUCGCUAAUACCGCAUACUAUAGGAUGUGCCCAUGUGGGAUUAGGUAGUUGGUGGGGUAAUGGCCCACCAAGGCGACGAUCAGUAGCUGGUCUGAGAGGAUGACCAGCCACACGGGGACUGAGACACGGCCCGGACUCCUACGGGAGGCAGCAGUGGGGAAUUUUGGGCAAUGGGCGCAAGCCUGAUGCAGCAAUGCCGCGUGUGUGAAGAAGGCCUUCGGGUUGUAAAGUACUUUCGUCGGGAAAGCGUUACUCGAAGAAGAAGCACCGGCUAACUCCGUGCCAGCAGCCGCGGUAAUUC